AGUGAACGCUGGCGGUAGGCCUAACACAUGCAAGUCGAACGGCAGCACAGUAAGAGCUUGCUCUUACGGGUGGCGAGUGGCGGACGGGUGAGGAAUACAUCGGAAUCUACUUUUUCGUGGGGGAUAACGUAGGGAAACUUACGCUAAUACCGCAUACGACCUACGGGUGAAAGCAGGGGAUCUUCGGACCUUGCGCGAUUGAAUGAGCCGAUGUCGGAUUAGCUAGUUGGCGGGGUAAAGGCCCACCAAGGCGACGAUCCGUAGCUGGUCUGAGAGGAUGAUCAGCCACACUGGAACUGAGACACGGUCCAGACUCCUACGGGAGGCAGCAGUGGGGAAUAUUGGACAAUGGGCGCAAGCCUGAUCCAGCCAUACCGCGUGGGUGAAGAAGGCCUUAGGGUUGUAAAGCCCUUUUGUUGGGAAAGAAAAGCAGCAGGUUAAUACCCCGCUGUUCUGACGGUACCAAAAGAAUAAGCACCGGCUAACUUCGUG
rnacentral:rRNA from 1 species